rnacentral:rRNA from 1 species
UACGGAGGGUCCGAGCGUUAAUCGGAAUUACUGGGCGUAAAGCGCGCGUAGGUGGUUCAGUCAGUCAGAUGUGAAAGCCCCGGGCUCAACCUGGGAACUGCACCUGAUACUGCUGAACUAGAGUACGGUAGAGGGCAGUGGAAUUUCCGGUGUAGCGGUGAAAUGCGUAGAGAUCGGAAGGAACACCAGUGGCGAAGGCGACUGCCUGGACCGAUACUGACACUGAGGUG